CUUUGUUCAGUGGAACGCCAUAGAAGAUAUAUAAGGUUUCUUUUGACUUUCAUUAUAUAGACAAAAAAAUUCAAUGGAAGUCAGUGGGAACCUUAGACUAUAAAAUAUAAGGCUUUAACAUUGCAUGCAAAUAUUAUAUUAUGAAAUUACAAUUAUAUAUACAGUAUGUAUAUAUAUAUAUAUAUAUAUAUAUAUAUAUAUAUAUAUAUAUAUAUAUAUAUAAGGCCCAAUGAGCAGGCUAUACUGUAUCAUGUUCACUGUAAAUCUUGAAUAUUAAAGGUGUUUCCGUCCCUGUCUGGUUUCCACAGCUCUGGAGGCUGAGAGAGUGUUUGCAGUGGUGGCUUUCCUCAUGUCGGUGAGCUCUGGACUGCUGUGUCUCAUGUUCGCUCUCUGUUGGAGGUCUCAAACUGUGCAUUCCUACUCGAACACUCGCUCGCUGCUGAUGGCAGGCCAGGCACUUGACCCGAGCACUCUGCUGCUGCUUACACUAGUACCUUCAGGAUUUUUCUUUUUUCUCAGCUGGGCGCUUUUUACCCAUCAACAUAUUGGUGAGAUCAGGGAUGACGUCAGUCGACUCGGCCUGUCCUAUUGGCUGGGAGUGGUGGGUUGGGCUUCGCUAUUGGCCGUGCUGCCUGUGGUCUUCCUGGCGGAGAAGUUUGUGGUUCCUGACAUCCUGCCGGAGUUAAAAAAGACUGCAGAAAUGUGGUGGAAGGCUCCCGAGGUUGCACACGCGCGAUCGUUUAGUGAGGGUUUCUAUCAUUCACAGCAUAAGUCUCAUCCUGACGUUAGGAGGUAUUUGUCAGUGCCUUGAACGAGAGGAAGGAGGUAGCAAGAAAAUACAAAAGAGAAGAGACUCUUGUCUCGCUGGUAUUCUAGCCAACUAUAUGAGCUGAGCAAAUGUCUCACAACAGGGGUUGAUGACCUGCAUGAGAAACCUGUAACUGCUUUCUGGGAUGUGGGACACAAAGCUACAGGUUAUAAGGUUGUGCGCUGGCCUUGACAGUGGUAUCACAGCUGUAUUUGGACGAGGACACCCAAAAAUGUGGUUAAUGGUAUACCAGAGUUCACUAUCUGUGUGAGACAUAAAGCUGAAAGGAUCUUGAUGUUGCAGACUAUUUCUCCAUAACUUUUUAUAGCCGUUGUCUGCAAUUGUACAGUGACUUCAGGGAGGUCUUUUUUUUAAAUGCAUUUUAAAUAUGCUGAAUUAUUGACUAUAAAUGUAAAUAAUUUUCAUGGCAUAAAUCUGUUGUGGUUUGUUCAGCUGUGCCUAUAGCACAGUUAACUAAACAUGAGUUAUAUAUAUAUAUAUAUAUAUAUAUAUAUAUAUAUAUGACACUAAAAUAGUGUCUUAAGUAAUGCUACUGCUGUUAUGGUUACCUCGAAUGCAUUAAUUAGCUCCAUAUUUAGCAAGAAAUGAAAAUAUGUGUUUUGACUGACUUUUAAAGUUAUUGAAACAUUAAAAAAAAAAUGGUGGUGAUCAUUUAAUUCCAGAUUGUUCUGCCCGUGCUCAGUUUUGCAGACAAUACUGAUUCAAAUAGCCACAGAGCACUUUUGACCUGCUAACACUUCUAGGUGCUUAUGCAGAAUUUAACACUACUAGAUGGUGCUACAAUUGUUUUUGUUUUUUGCGUCUCUUGUCUUUUUUUAUGCGGAAACAGUGCUCUCUACUGGCGAUAGUACAAAGAGCAUCCUGUUCUGUCUAUCAUUUGCAUUUUUAAAGCUCUAUUAAUUAUACUUUUUGUACUGUUUUUAACCAAUAAAUAAAAUGGUUAUCAUAUAAAGCUGAGUCA
ensembl:lncRNA